CUCUCUCGGCCUCCCCUCCUGCCUGCCUCCCCGCUGCCCGGGACCCUGGUGCUUCUCAGAGGCCGCAGGAGCCUCUCCGCCUCAAGGUCACCCUCAAGGUCAGCGCCGAGCGGCCGGACUCCCGCUGCAGCCUCCACUGCCCUCGCCCUGAGGCCGCACCUGCUCCCAGUUCCUGGGGAUGGGGGCGGGGCGGGGCCCACGGAGCAGAAAAUGAAGGGUCCUCCCUCCCUCCAGCUGAUGGACGGAAACCCCACCUGCGGCCAGACAUCCCUGAGCUCUGAACCACCACCGGCCCCUGCCAAACACCCUGAGCUCCCAUCCCGAAGUGCCUAGGCCCCUAAACACCCAUCAGCGUGUCCCCUCUCCUCCCCUUACAGUGCCUGUGCCCCGCCCUCGCUCUCUUCCGCUCUCUCUGGAAGCAGCGGCAGUGGUUCUCCCUCCAAUAAAGCCUGUGUCCUGCCAUCCCGGUUUCUGGCCCGUUUCAUCUUUCAGAAAUGAGUCUGAAUGAACCCUGCCUUCUGGGGUGGGGGUGCCCCACAGGCGGGAGGAGGCAGGCCGGGGCUGGGACUCACAGGUCACGGGGGGUGGGGGGGGGGCAGGCAGGGCUGGGAAUGGCAGUGCCCCUGGGAAAGGAACAAAUCUGAUUUACUGAGGCAGAGCAGCUGGGGGCUGGGGCGAGGGGCGGGGCCUCCGCAGGCCCAGGAAGGGAGGCUGUGCGGUCGGUCGGUCGGUUGGUCGGUCAGCUCCUGUGGAGCUGGAUGCUGGAGGGACUCGGGGGGCGCGAGCAGGGACAGCAGGGCGGUGGGGGCUCCCCGGGGGGCUCAGUCGAGCUGCAGCCAGCUGUUCUUCUCCUCCACCUCCUUGGUCACCACCA